GCAGGCCAAACUUGCUAAGCUCUACGAAGGGACCUUCUUGCACCACCUACCUUGCCAAAGGUGGUGGUGGUGGAGAAGGUUUUGAUGUGACCAAAAGUGUUAGAUUCUAGAGUUGGACUUGUUGGGUUGGAAAAUCCACGCUCGUGAACAAGCUGACAGGAAGAUUUUCCGAGGUUGCUUCUUAUGAGUUCACAACAAUUGACCUGCAUUCCCGGAGUUAUUACAUACCGUGGAGCUAAAAUCCCAGUUAUUAAAUCUUCCUGGUAUUAUUAAGGACGGAAAAAGGGUAGAGGAAGACAAGUU